GACGAACGCUGGCGGCGUGCUUAACACAUGCAAGUCGAACGGAGCACCCCUGAAGGAGUUUUCGGACAACGGAAGGGAAUGCUUAGUGGCGGACUGGUGAGUAACGCGUGAGGAACCUGCCUUCCAGAGGGGGACAACAGUUGGAAACGACUGCUAAUACCGCAUGAUGUGUUUUGAUGGCAUCAUUGAGACACCAAAGAUUUAUCGCUGGAAGAUGGCCUCGCGUCUGAUUAGCUAGUAGGCGGGGUAACGGCCCACCUAGGCGACGAUCAGUAGCCGGACUGAGAGGUUGACCGGCCACAUUGGGACUGAGAUACGGCCCAG
rnacentral:rRNA from 1 species